UACGAAGGGGGCUAGCGUUGCUCGGAAUCACUGGGCGUAAAGCGCACGUAGGUGGCUUUCUAAGUCAGGGGUGAAAUCCUGGAGCUCAACUCCAGAACUGCCUUUGAUACUGGAGCUGAGUCCGGGAGAGGUGAGUGGAACUCCGAGUGUAGAGGUGAAAUUCGAUAGAUAUUCGGAAGGAAACACCAGUGGCGAAGGACGGCGC
rnacentral:rRNA from 1 species